rnacentral:rRNA from 2 species
GGGUGAUGCAUCUAGAGAUUAGACGUUCCCUUCGGGGACAUGGAUACAGGUGGUGCAUGGUUGUCGUCAGCUCGUGUCGUGAGAUGUUGGGUUAAGUCCCGCAACGAGCGCAACCCUUAUUAUCAGUUGCCAGCAUUAAGUUGGGCACUCUGGUGAGACUGCCGGUGACAAACCGGAGGAAGGUGGGGAUGACGUCAAAUCAUCAUGCCCCUUAUGACCUGGGCUACACACGUGCUACAAUGGAUGGUACAACGAGUUGCGAACUCGCGAGAGUAAGCUAAUCUCUUAAAGCCAUUCUCAGUUCGGAUUGUAGGCUGCAACUCGCCUACAUGAAGUCGGAAUCGCUAGUAAUCGCGGAUCAGCAUGCCGCGGUGAAUACGUUCCCGGGUCUGUUACACACCGA